GAACGCGAAGAACCUUACCCGGGCUUGAAUUGCAGAGGAAGGAUUUAGAGAUAAUGACGCCCUUCGGGGUCUCUGUGAAGGUGCUGCAUGGUUGUCGUCAGCUCGUGCCGUGAGGUGUCGGCUUAAGUGCCAUAACGAGCGCAACCCCUCUCUUCAGUUGCCAUCAGGUAAUGCUGGGCACUCUGGAGACACUGCCACCGUAAGGUGUGAGGAAGGUGGGGAUGACGUCAAAUCAGCACGGCCCUUACGUCCGGGGCUACACACGUGUUACAAUGGCCGGUACAGAGGGACGGUGUAAUGCAAAUUGCAUCCAAUCUUGAAAGCCGGUCCCAGUUCGGACUGGGGUCUGCAACCCGACCCCACGAAGCUGGAUUCGCUAGUAAUCGCGCAUCAGCCAUGGCGCGGUGAAUACGUUCCCGGGUCUUGUACACACC
rnacentral:rRNA from 1 species